UGAGGGAAUAUUUGGGGUCAAUGGGCGAGAGCCUGAACCAGCCAAGUAGCGUGCAGGAUGACGGCCCUAUGGGUUGUAAACUGCUUUUAUAAGGGAAUAAAGUGAGCCUCGUGAGGCUUUUUGCAUGUACCUUAUGAAUAAGGACCGGCUAAUUCCGUGCCAGCAGCCGCGGUAAUACGGAAGGUCCUGGCGUUAUCCGGAUUUAUUGGGUUUAAAGGGAGCGUAGGCUGUUUAUUAAAGCGUGUUGUGAAAAACCCGUGCUCAACAUGGGUCGUGCAGCGCGAACUGGUGAACUUGAGUGCGGAUGCGGUAUGCGGAAUUUGUGGUGUAGCGGUGAAAUGCUUAGAUAUCACGAAGAACUCCGAUUGCGAAGGCAGCAUGCCAGGGCCGUUACUGACGCUGA
rnacentral:rRNA from 1 species